rnacentral:tRNA from 1 species
GCGAAGUGUUCAGUGGGGUAGAACAAUCACCUUGCCAAGGUGGGGGUCGCGGGUUCGAAUCCCGUCUUCCGCUCCA